rnacentral:tRNA from 1 species
GCGCCCGUGGCGGAAUUGGCAGACGCGCUAGGUUGAGGGCCUAGUGGCCGAAAGGCUGUGAUGGUUCAAAUCCAUUCGGGCGCA